UACGAAGGGGGCAAGCGUUGCUCGGAAUUACUGGGCGUAAAGCGCACGUAGGCGGAUAGUUAAGUCAGGGGUGAAAUCCCGGGGCUCAACCUCGGAAUUGCCUUUGAUACUGAGUAUCUAGAGUUCGAAAGGGGUAAGUGGAAGUCCAAGUGUAGAGGUGAAAUUCGUAGAUAUUUGGAAGAACACCAGUGGCGAAGGCGACUUACUGGUUCGAUACUGACGCUGAGGUGCGAAAGCGUGGGGAGCAAACAGU
rnacentral:rRNA from 1 species